UACGUAGGGGGCUAGCGUUGUCCGGAAUCAUUGGGCGUAAAGAGCGCGUAGGCGGCCAGAUAAGUCCGGUGUGAAAGUCAAAGGCUCAACCUUUGAAUGCCGCUGGAAACUGUCUGGCUAGAGUCCGGAAGGGGCGAGUGGAAUUCCUGGUGUAGCGGUGAAAUGCGCAGAUAUCAGGAAGAACACCGAUGGCGAAGGCAGCUCUCUGGGACGGUACUGACGCUGAGACGCGAAAGCGUGGGGAGCGAACAGG
rnacentral:rRNA from 1 species